GACGAACGCUGGCGGCGUGCUUAACACAUGCAAGUCGAACGGUGAAGCGCCUUCCUUUUUGGUGGGUGUGGAUGGGUGGCGAACGGGUGAGUAACACGUGAGUAACCUGCCCCCUUCUUCUGGAUAACCGCAUGAAAGUGUGGCUAAUACGGGAUAUUCUGGGUCUGUCGCAUGAUGGGUCUGGGAAAGAUAUUGUUUCGGUGGGGGAUGGGCUCGCGGCCUAUCAGCUUGUUGGUGGGGUGAUGGCCUACCAAGGCGGUGACGGGUAGCCGGCCUGAGAGGGUGGACGGUCACACUGGGACUGAGACACGGCCCAGACUCCUACGGGAGGCAGCAGUGGGGAAUAUGGCACAAUGGGCGCAAGCCUGAUGCAGCGACGCCGCGUGAGGGAUGGAGGCCUUCGGGUUGUGAACCUCUUUCGCCAGUGAAGCAGGCCUGCCUCGUUUGUGGGUGGGUUGACGGUAGCUGGAGAAGAAGCGCCGGCUAACUACGUG
rnacentral:rRNA from 1 species